rnacentral:rRNA from 1 species
UACGAAGGGGGCUAGCGUUGCUCGGAAUCACUGGGCGUAAAGGGCGCGUAGGCGGCUUUGCAAGUCAAAGGUGAAAUCCCUCGGCUCAACUGAGGAACUGCCUUUGAAACUGUGAGGCUUGAGUCCGGGAGGGGGUAGCGGAAUUCCCAGUGUAGCGGUGAAAUGCGUAGAUAUUGGGAGGAACACCAGUGGCGAAGGCGGCUACCUGGACCGGAACUGACGCUGAUGCGCGAAAGCGUGGGUAGCAAACAGG